rnacentral:miRNA from 1 species
AGGGGCUUUUGGGGGCACUUGUG